GACGAACGCUGGCGGCGUGCUUAACACAUGCAAGUCGAACGGAAAGGCCCCUUCGGGGGUACUCGAGUGGCGAACAGGUGAGUAACACGUGAGUAACCUGCCCUUGACUUCGGGAUAACUUCAGGAAACUGGGGCUAAUACCGGAUAGGAAUCCUUGCUGCAUGGUGGGGGUUGGAAAGCUUCGGCGGUUUUGGAUGGACUCGCGGCUCAUCAGCUUGUUGGUGGGGUAGUGGCUUACCAAGGCUUUGACGGGUAGCCGGCCUGAGAGGGCGACCGGCCACAUUGGGACUGAGAUACGGCCCAGACUCCUACGGGAGGCAGCAGUGGGGAAUAUUGCACAAUGGGCGGAAGCCUGAUGCAGCAACGCCGCGUGCGGGAUGACGGCCUUCGGGUUGUAAACCGCUUUCAGCAGGGGCGAAGCUUGUGGUGACGGUACCUGCAGAAGAAGCACCGGCUAACUACGUG
rnacentral:rRNA from 1 species